UACGUAGGGGGCAAGCGUUGUCCGGAUUUAUUGGGCGUAAAGAGCGUGUAGGCGGCCAGGUAGGUGGGUUGUGAAAACUGGAGGCUCAACCUUCAGACGUCGACCCAAACCCCCUGGCUAGAGUCCGGAAGAGGAGAGUGGAAUUCCUGGUGUAGCGGUGAAAUGCGCAGAUAUCGGGAAGAACACCCGUGGCGAAGGCGAGCUCGCGUGGACGGUAACUGACGCUGAGACGCGAAAGCGUGGGGAGCA
rnacentral:rRNA from 1 species